rnacentral:rRNA from 1 species
GCAACUGGAGCGGCCGAUGGCAGAUUAGGUAGUUGGUGGGGUAAAGGCUUACCAAGCCUGCGAUCUGUAGCUGGUCUGAGAGGACGACCAGCCACACUGGGACUGAGACACGGCCCAGACUCCUACGGGAGGCAGCAGUGGGGAAUUUUGGACAAUGGGCGAAAGCCUGAUCCAGCAAUGCCGCGUGCAGGAUGAAGGCCCUCGGGUUGUAAACUGCUUUUGUACGGAACGAAAAGCCUACUUCUAAUAAAGGUGGGUCAUGACGGUACUGUAAGAAUAAGCACCGGCUAACUACGUGCCAGCAGCCGCGGUAAUACGUAGGGUGCAAGCGUUAAUCGGAAUUACUGGGCGUAAAGCGUGCGCAGGCGGUUUUGUAAGACAGUGGUGAAAUCCCCGGGCUCAACCUGGGAACUGCCAUUGUGACUGCAAGGCUGGAGUGCGGCAGAGGGGGAUGGAAUUCCGCGUGUAGCAGUG